CAAAUAGAGUACCUAACCUUCCCUCAGACGAGCUGAGAGUAGAGAGGCCAGGCUUCCUUCCCCAUGGGAGAGGUGGUUAAGAAAGGAGCCUCGCCUAGACUGCCCUUGCCUCACAUUU
rnacentral:snoRNA from 1 species